rnacentral:rRNA from 1 species
AGUGAACGCUGGCGGUAGGCCUAACACAUGCAAGUCGAACGGCAGCACAGUAAGAGCUUGCUCUUACGGGUGGCGAGUGGCGGACGGGUGAGGAAUACAUCGGAAUCUACUUUUUCGUGGGGGAUGACGUAGGGAAACUUACGCUAAUACCGCAUACGACCUACGGGUGAAAGCAGGGGAUCUUCGGACCUUGCGCGAUUGAAUGAGCCGAUGUCGGAUUAGCUAGUUGGCGGGGUAAAGGCCCACCAAGGCGACGGUCCGUAGCUGGUCUGAGAGGAUGAUCAGCCACACUGGAACUGAGACACGGUCCAGACUCCUACGGGAGGCAGCAGUGGGGAAUAUUGGACAAUGGGUGCAAGCCUGAUCCAGCCAUACCGCGUGGGUGAAGAAGGCCUUCGGGUUGUAAAGCCCUUUUGUUGGGAAAGAAAAGCAGCAGGUUAAUACCCCGCUGUUCUGACGGUACCCAAAGAAUAAGCACCGGCUAACUUCGUG